AUUGAACGCUGGCGGAAUGCUUUACACAUGCAAGUCGAACGGCAGCACGGACUUCGGUCUGGUGGCGAGUGGCGAACGGGUGAGUAAUACAUCGGAACGUGCCCAGUCGUUGGGGAUAACGUAGCGAAAGCUACGCUAAUACCGCAUACGACCUAAGGAUGAAAGCGGGGGAUCGUCAGACCCCACGCGACCGAAGCGGCCGAUGGCAGAUUAGGUAGUUGGGGGGGUAAAGGCUCACCAAGCCGACGACCUGUAGCUGGUCUGAGAGGACGACCAGCCACACUGGGACUGAGACACGGCCCAGACUCCUACGGGAGGCAGCAGUGGGGAAUUUUGGACAAUGGGCGCAAGCCUGAUCCAGCCAUUCCGCGUGCAGGAUGAAGGCCCUCGGGUUGUAAACUGCUUUUGUACGGAACGAAAAGGCUCUGGUUAAUACCUGGGGCUCAUGACGGUACCGUAAGAAUAAGCACCGGCUAACUACGUGCCAGCCGCCGCAGUAA
rnacentral:rRNA from 1 species